UUAACUUUUAUUUUAUAGUUUUAUUAAAAUAUUGAUUUUGUAAUUCAAAGAAAUUUUAAAGUUAAG
rnacentral:tRNA from 1 species